rnacentral:rRNA from 1 species
GUAAGGAAUAUUGCACAAUGGGCGCAAGCCUGAUGCAGCAACGCCGCGUGCCGGAUGAAGGUCUUCGGAUCGUAAACGGCUUUUCUCAGGGACGAGCAAGGACGGUACCUGAGGAAUAAGUCUCGGCUAACUACGUGCCAGCAGCCGCGGUAACACGUAGGAGACGAGCGUUAUCCGGAUUUACUGGGCGUAAAGCGCGGGUCGGUGGGGUCUUAAGUCAUGCGUGAAAGCUCUCGGCUUAACCGGGAGAGGUCGUGUGAAACUGGGAUUCUCAGAGGUAGGUAGAGGCAGAUGGAAUUCCGGGUGGAGUGGUGAAAUGCGUAGAGAUCCGGAGGAACACCAGUGGCGAAGGCGAUCUGCUAGGCCUGACCUGACACUCAGCCGCGACAGCAUGGGGAGCGAACGGGAUUAGAAACCCCGGUAGUCC